rnacentral:rRNA from 1 species
UACGGGGGGGGCAAGCGUUGUUCGGAAUUACUGGGCGUAAAGGGCUCGUAGGUGGCCAACUAAGUCAGACGUGAAAUCCCUCAGCUUAACUGGGGAACUGCGUCUGAUACUGGAUGGCUUGAGUUUGGGAGAGGGAUGCGGAAUUCCAGGUGUAGCGGUGAAAUGCGUAGAUAUCUGGAGGAACACCGGUGGCGAAGGCGGCUACCUGGCCCAACAUUGACGCUGAGACCCGAAAGCAUGGGGAUCAAACAGG